rnacentral:rRNA from 1 species
GGCAGCAGUGGGGAAUCUUCGGCAAUGGACGGAAGUCUGACCUAGCGACGCCGCGUGAGGGAAGAAGGCCUUCGGAUCGUAAACCUCUGUCAUGGGGGACGAAGGAAGUGACGGUACCCCAAGAGGAAGCCCCUGCUAACUACGUGCCAGCAGCCGCGGUAAUACGUAGGGGGCUAGCGUUGUCCGGAUUUACUGGGCGUAAAGGGCGAGUAGGCGGCAUGUUAAGUCAGGUGUGAAAUUCCAGGGCUCAACCCUGGGACUGCGCUUGAAACUGGCAAGCUAGAGGGCAGGAGAGGGAAGUGGAAUUCCCGGUGUAGCGGUGGAAUGCGUAGAUAUCGGGAGGAACACCAGUGGCGAAGGCGGCUUCCUGACUGUACCUGACGCUGAGGAGCGAAAGCUGGGGGAGCAAACAGGAUUAGAUACCCUGGUAGUCCCAGCCGUAAACGAUGAGUGCUAAGUGU